rnacentral:rRNA from 1 species
GACGAACGCUGGCGGCGUGCUUAACACAUGCAAGUCGAACGGAAAGGCCCUGCUUUUGUUGGGUGCUCGAGUGGCGAACGGGUGAGUAACACGUGAGUAACCUGCCCUUGACUUUGGGAUAACUUCAGGAAACUGGGGCUCAUACCGGAUAUUAGCUCCUGCUGCAUGGUGUUGGUUGGAAAGUUUCGGCGGUUGGGGAUGGACUCGCGGCUUAUCAGCUUGUUGGUGUGGUAGUGGCUUACCAAGGCUUAGACGGGUAGCCGGCCUGAGAGGGUGACCGGACACAUUGAGACUAAGAAACGGACCAGACUCAUACGGGAGGCAGCAGUGGGGAAUAUUGCACAAUGGGCGGAAGCCUGAGGCAGCAACGACGCGUGCGGGAUGACAGCCUUUGGGUUGUAAACCGAUUUCGCAGGAGACGAAGCGUGAGUGACGGUAAUGGGUAAAGAAGCACCGGCUAACUACGUG